GGGCGAAGUCCAGUGUUGGCAACUUGCAAAAGUCGCCAAUGCUCUGUUGUCAUGACAACCGAGACAACACUAGCCGGCCGCACGCACGAGGGACACGAGGGUAAGUCACCCCGAACAUCCUGCCAUGAGCCAGUGGCAGCAUUGGGUGACCUGCGCUUGUAUGUCGUUUAAAAGCACAAGCACAUGUGGUGAAAAAAGUCAACUUUACGAAAUUUCGUUUACUGCAAAAUGAAAAUUUCUGACAGGAGGUACACGCUGAUCAUAUGUUUCCAGUUGGCGUUAGUGUUGAUUGAUAUUUGCUUCAACGUGCUCUCCAGUGUAGUCACCGUCAAGAAAGGAUUUCAGUUGACCGGUUACAUAAUCCAAGAUGCUUUGCAGCUGGUUGCUUUUGUGAUCUUGUCCAUGAGCGUUUUCCAAACGAGUGUCUUUGAGGCCGGGUUCGUGGAGCUUCUGUACAAAAAAUUUCGAAUUACGAUGCUGACAGCGUCGGUCUACUUCUUGUCGACGGUGAGCUUUCAAAGUUACGACAUGAUUCUUCGUUGGUCCUCCUCUGCCCCAGGCCCUCGUGUCCGUACUUAUCGGCUUUGCAAGUUUUACAGUGGACAGUGGCGCCGAUUCACUACUACUCAUACAAGCGUGCCGCACUUAAAAUAAGUGAUCCGAGGUUGUAUCGAGACGAUUGGAUCAAUCAUCAAUUGAAUCACAUUCGCUCAUGAUCUACGAGACUUGCCGACAGUUUUUUCAUCGAAUUCUCAGCCAAACUGUUUCUACUCCAUCUUCCAACAAUUUAAACGCAGUGCAAGGUGAGAAAAAACGUGCUGACUUUCGUAAGUAAGGGUUUGAAGGGCAAGGUGCAUAAGUGCAGAUUUUAAAAAAAAUUGAGUUAUUAACGAUUUCAAGUAUAACUAUAGUCUUAACGCAUAACGCAUGUUCUAUGAAAAUUCGCUCCCAAAUUCCCAAUGUUAAGCAUCAAAAAGUCUGCAGUUUGAACUUUCUUUCCACCAUGAGAAUUGAUGUAAUUUCGAAACUUCGAUCACGUAUUUCUCAAACAGCAAAAACUGUUCUUAUGCGCCUUGCCCUCCAAG
rnacentral:lncRNA from 1 species